AAACAAUGAUGAUGAGAUCAAAUUUGCUGCAAAUUGUUUCCUGAAGAGCUACCUAGAAUAUUGUAAGCAAAAAGUGAUUGAAAUGGACUCAUUUCAAAAGGAAGUGACAAUUGUAUGCCAGACAGAGCAUGCUCAUAGCCUUGUAUGUGAAGUUUUUAUGAAGUAUGUUCAGGACCAAAAAGAUAUUUAAAAGUACAAGAAAAAUGCCUCAGAAUACCCUCAGGAAGGAAUGACUGGAAAACAUGUGGCCAUGUUCAAAAGAAUUGUUGGGGCCUCAUAUCAUUCAAUGAAAGAGAUUUACAUUGUCACACAUUGGACAUAAAGAAGUGCUGUGCCUGCCAAAUUGGCCGUAACUUGUCACUUGUACCAGGAGGAAGAAUUUGAACUUUAUAAAUCCAAUGUCAGAUAUUGCAAGACUUUUGAAAAAUUUACACAAUUGGGGAAAAGGGCAUUGUGUAUAUCUUCAGAUAAAUUACUUGACAGUGUGUAGCUUCUCACACUUCUGACAGUCAAGAUCUAAUUGUAUUUUAUUUAUUAUUUUGUAAUUUUAUUUACUAUAACAACUAGUGUAAUAUCUAUAUGUUUUACUUUUGAUAAUUUUAAUAUUACUAUGUUUUUCUUAAAUUCUUUUGCUUUAAAUAUUUUUUAGUUUUAUAAUUACCAUUUUAUUGAUUGUGUAAAUUUCUGAUACUUAAUUUUUCAAACUUGCCAAAAUUACUUUAGUAUAAUAACAUUAUAGUUAAAGAAACCAUCAAGUCAGCUUGGGCUAUUAUUGUCUGAAAAUGUAUGUGCUGGCUUAAAUUCUAUAAGUGUU